UUUUUUUUUUUUUUUUUUUUUGCCCUUGCCUCUUGCCAUCUGGUUAUUUCUGGUGUUAGAUGGUCUUUCUGUCUCUGACUCUGGCUUGUCCCUCCUGAAAGCCUUUGUGUCAGUACUCCUGGGAGACUAGCUCUCUUUUGGUGGGACUUGUGUACAGAGGGAUAUGGAAAAGCCAGGCAUAUGGCAAGCAGAAGGAUCCUGUCCCACCUGCUCUACUGUUCCUGUGCCCUGUGCACUUCUGGCUGGUCCCACUUUGGACAGUUAUUGGAGAGAAAAUUGAAAUCUCACCUCUGAGCCCAGGAAUGAGAGCACUCCUAGGAGUCUAGCUCCCUCCAGGCAGGACCUGUAAACAGAGGGCUGUGGAACUGCCUUAGCUCCUGGGUGCAGAUCCAUAACCAGUUUUUUUUUUCCUGAGACAGGGUUUCUCUGUAUAGCCCUGGUUGUCCUCGAACUCACUUUGUAGACCAGGCUGGCCGUGAACUCAGAAAUCUCUCUGCCUCUGCCUCCCAAGUGCUGGGAUUAAAGGCGUGCGCCACCAGGUUUUUUAAGAAACCAAAAUUCUCGCUACCAAACAUCAUGACCAAAGCAAUGUAUGGAAGAAAACAUUUUGGCUUAUAGUUCCAUAUGAGUGAGGGCUCAUCAUAGAUGGGAAUUAUAGCAAUGGAUGACUGGCAUGGUGACAGGGAGCAGGAAGCUGAGAGGUCACAUCUCCUAUCAUGAACAUGAAGCAGAAACAGUGAAGUAAGGCAAGGCUCUAAAAUGUCAAAGCCCACCCACAGUGACAGACUUCUCCCAGCAAGGCUGGACCUCACAUAACACCCACAAACACAACUGCAGUGGAGACCAAGUGUUUAAAACCUGAGAUGAUUGUUAGAGGACCUUUCUUAUUUAAAGCACCAGAUAUCCACAACUAAAAAUGUCUGAGAGGUCCUGCCUAGCCCGGGAAAGGCCAAGGUUUCCUGAAAACAAGACAUUGGGAAUAUGUGACUAAACCAGGGAAAAAAUUCCAUUUAGUGAUCUUUGCAGAACAGCCUCUAUUUUGGUAAAUUUUAAGCUUAAAAGAAAACCAUGACCCAUGUAAAGUUCAUGACAUUAGUCUUUCAUCAAAAGAUGAAACACACAGGCAUAAAUCCUAAUGCCAUCAAGCUGUAGAUACACAAUGUACACCCACCUGGCACCCAAUUCACUUUCCAGUGGAGAAAGCUUAGAGUCUAAGUUGAUGUCUAAUUAUCAGCUUCCCACUUAGCAGACUGGAAACUUGUCAGGGAUAAAUCUUAGUCAGCGAUGGCCGAAUCUGCUUCCUCCUGGUUAGAAUGAAUGUGCUAAGUGGAUUUCAGAUUCUGCUCAUUCCGUUGAUUACACAUAAUUCAAAGAAUGGUGUUUAUGCACCAUCCCACUCUGAAUUGACUACAAGCCUGGCCUUGGUGCCAGUGUAAUUGCAAUUGGCUUAAACAUCUAGGUGGAAACUCAUCAGCCAGUCUUUUCCUCUUGUAGCUGAUGUGUUCACCAAAAAUGUCCUUGCAUCAACAACUGAACAGCCAUAUAUUUCAUAUCAAUUUUUCCUCUAAUUUUAAAGAAUUACUCCAAGAAGAAAAUUAGGGGAAGUGGUUUUGUUUUAAAGAACAGGAUUUGGAGCUAAUAGCUAUAUUUUAUUAUUUUUUUUCAUAACAUGUCUGUAAAAACAGUAUUUGGAUUUUUUUCUUUAAGUGUAGAAUUUAAAAGAAAAGAUUAUUGUUUUUUAGAUUUUUUUGAGACACAAAGUAAUGAAAGCUUUAUAGUAGAGAAGUGGGGACAGUAACAGUAUGAAAAAAACAGAUCAUAUUAAAUGAGUACAGGAAGUUAGUUGCAACCAUGUUUACAUGAAUGCCACCAUACCCAAACUCAUUUCAUUUCAAGAACCAACAUCUGAAAAGCUGAAGGGAUCCAUGCCAAUAUAGGUGGCUGUGUUCAUGAACUGCUUCAUAAUUCUUCUUUCUACAUAUUUUCCCACUAUAACUCAAAUUGUUGUUUAUAUAUGUUUUUAUAUUAGUGGUGAAUAUUGUCCUUUUUCAGUUAUCUCAACAAGGUCCUAUGACAAGGUGGUAAAGGAAUCCGGAUAUGAACCAGGGGCCUUGGGUCCCCAGACCUGUCCUUUCUAACCACCUAUGAUUCCUGCAAAUGGUUUCAAAAACUUGAUGGUGAGAUGUACCUAGAUCUUCUACAAGAGUACACAGGACAGGGAGAAUGAGCACAAAAGGAGAAAACAAGAGAUGGUAGCUGCUGCCAGAGCACAUCAGUGAGCUCUGAGGUGUCUGGAGACCCACGGAGGCUCUGAAGAGUGAUGUGAUGGCAGAAAAAAGCUUCUAUGGAGUUCACAGUCACUCCAGAACAACCAAGAAGAAGGGCUGUCUUAUGCUAAGAUGCUUUUUUUUUAAAGUGGAAUUAUAAAAUUGGAAGAAACAGCAAAACACAGCAACACACAGAGCAGAAUGAUGAAUCUAUACACUUCACUGCCAUUAGGCUGUAAGGGCAAAGGUUGUGUCAUAUGAACUGUGGGUCAGCCAGCACCAAUGACAGGAAGAUGUGUGGCUGCCUAGAACUACUGCAGAAAUGGAUCAUUACUGAAUAGAAUCAGCCAAACCUGCAGCUCGUGCUGCUUGCUCUGUUGGGAGAUGGAGAAUCCAAUGCAGCUUGUACCUGCAGUUUCAAGCAAAAAGGUCUACAAGCCUCAGGAAGGCAGACAUUGAGGGCAGGGAUGUGUGUAGCAGCCAGGAGCUGGCAUAGAACCUGCACCAAGUUGCUCUGACUAACCACAACAUCACUUUGACUCUGGACAACAGAAAUGGUCCAGUAGGCUGUUGAGUGGUUGCAUUAGAAGCUGUGUGGGGGAAAAAAAAGGUGUUCAGGGUGGUGUUGUUGCUGCUGCUGUUGUUAUUGUUGUUGCUGUUGUUGAGACAGGGUCUUAAUACAUAGCAUUGACUAAUCUGAAACACAAUGUAUAGACCAGGCUUCUCUCAAAAUCUUAGAAUUCCACAUGCAUCCACUUCCCAAGUGUUCAGAAGAAAGGCAUGUACCACCACAUCUGGAUAUAAUAUUUUUUAUUCCCCUUUAAAAGAAGAAUUAAAGCUACUUAGUACAAACAACAAAGAACUGUUUUAAGGCUGGGAAACCCUGGAAUCCUAGAAU
rnacentral:lncRNA from 1 species